rnacentral:lncRNA from 1 species
UAGCAUUCCAGCCCUACAGCUGAACAAGAGCCAGAGUACCGACAAGAAAACACCAUCGCUCAUCUCAUGGCGCUUCUCAAAAAUAACAAUAACAUCGCUAUAUUCCUAACAUCCAUCCUAGCAAUGGCCGUGCUCUUAUCAUCACCCUAUCUUGCGCAAGCCGACAAAGGUUUUACUUGUGCCUUUUUUCUUUUUUUUUACUUGGGUUUUUUGGCCAUGUGAAAGUAUUUGUUCUCAUCAUUUUAUUGCUUAUUAUUAUUGUUGUUGCUAUUACUGUGCAGAUAGCCUUUGUUACCCCUCGCCAGAAGGGAAGCCAUGCGACAUUCAGGUGUGCAACCAAGUUUGCAAGCUGCAGGGGUACCCCGAUCAUGACGCGCGAUGUGGGCAUCCUCCACCCGGCAAGGGUGGCGACGGGGAGUACUGCUGCUGUUCUCCACAGUAAAAUGGUGUAGCCUUAACGGCGGCGAAUAUUGUUGUCUGUGAACUGAUCCGUUUGGAAAAAAGUCAAAUAAUUUUGGAGGGAGUAGAGAAUGAAAGGGUUGUUGAUUUAUUUCUUGCCGAUUGUUGCUUCAAAAUGAUCAGUUUACUCUCAGCUUCGUGG